rnacentral:rRNA from 1 species
UCUUGGUCAUUUAGAGGAAGUAAAAGUCGUAACAAGGUCUCCGUUGGUGAACCAGCGGAGGGAUCAUUACCGAGUUUACAACUCCCAAACCCCUGUGAACAUACCUUAAUGUUGCCUCGGCGGAUCAGCCCGCGCCCUGUAAAACGGGACGGCCCGCCAGAGGACCCAAACUCUAAUGUUUCUUAUUGUAACUUCUGAGUAAAACAAACAAAUAAAUCAAAACUUUCAACAACGGAUCUCUUGGUUCUGGCAUCGAUGAAGAACGCAGCAAAAUGCGAUAAGUAAUGUGAAUUGCAGAAUUCAGUGAAUCAUCGAAUCUUUGAACGCACAUUGCGCCCGCUGGUAUUCCGGCGGGCAUGCCUGUUCGAGCGUCAUUUCAACCCUCAAGCCCCCGGGUUUGGUGUUGGGGAUCGGCUCUGCCCUUCUGGGCGGUGCCGCCCCCGAAAUACAUUGGCGGUCUCGCUGCAGCCUCCAUUGCGUAGUAGCUAACACCUCGCAACUGGAACGCGGCGCGGCCAUGCCGUAAAACCCCAACUUCU